rnacentral:rRNA from 1 species
CCUACGGGAGGCAGCAGUGAGGAAUAUUGGUCAAUGGGCGUAAGCCUGAACCAGCCAAGUCGCGUGAGGGAUGAAGGUUCUAUGGAUCGUAAACCUCUUUUAUAAGGGGAUAAAGUGUGGGACGUGUCCUAUUUUGUAUGUACCUUAUGAAUAAGGAUCGGCUAACUCCGUGCCAGCAGCCGCGGUAAUACGGAGGAUCCGAGCGUUAUCCGGAUUUAUUGGGUUUAAAGGGUGCGUAGGCGGCAUUGUAAGUCAGCGGUGAAAGUCUGUGGCUCAACCAUAGAAUUGCCGUUGAAACUGGGGGGCUUGAGUAUGUGUGAGGCAGGCGGAAUGCGAGGUGUAGCGGUGAAAUGCUUAGAUAUCACGCAGAACCCCGAUGGCGAAGGCAGCCAGCCAAGCCAUGACUGACGCUGAUGCACGAAAGCGUGGGGAUCAAACAGGAUUAGAUACCCGAGUAGUC